CCAGUGCCUAUACCAAACUCUUUGCCUCCAGCCUCAGUGGCUGAAUGCAGAGCUGAGGAACUCAGGUGAUGCUUGUUGGGUGAUGAGGGCUUGGAGGUGAUGUGAAGCCCUAACAGGGCUUUCUAGGAGCACGCUUUUCUUCAUUUGAGGCUGUCUACUCCCUGAAGCACCAUCUUCCUUUGAUUCCCCCCCGGUUGUGGGAUGCGCUCCACUGGUUUGGCUGUGUAGUACACUACUUGAUUAUUUUUAUUCACAAGACAGCAAGACCUAUGGCCAACAGUCUGUGAUAUCCCAUUCUUUCAGGGAUGAGAAACUGUUCCCUGGUUCUGCAAAGAUCAUCUUUGCUUCAAGCACAGAGUCAUUCGAGUGCUUGAUCAAAUGAGAGGCAAACGCUGUGGAAAAUAACUAACAUUUUUGAAACAAAGUACAAUGGAUUGUGAUUUUUCAGGUGGGUUCUCCUUUUGUUAUGUUUUUCCUAAGUAUCUCUGGCAGGAGAAGGAAUAAUUUUUCUGGAUCCUCUAGCAAAUCCAGCCAGGAAAAAUGCAAUUUGCCUUUGCACCAAGAGGAUUUAUCCUAAUGGAUUAUAAAGCCGCCGGCCAAUAAAGUUGGAUCCAGUUCUUUACA
rnacentral:lncRNA from 1 species